rnacentral:rRNA from 1 species
UACGUAGGGUGCGAGCGUUUAAUCGGAAUUACUGGGCGUAAAGCGUGCGCAGGCGGUUUUGUAAGCCAGAUGUGAAAUCCCCGGGCUUAACCUGGGAAUGGCAUUUGGGACUGCAAGGCUUGAGUGCGGCAGAGGAGACUGGAAUUCCUGGUGUAGCAGUGAAAUGCGCAGAUAUCAGGAGGAACACCGAUGGCGAAGGCAGUAUCUCGGGCCGUAACUGACGCUGAGGAGCGAAAGCAUGGGGAGCGAACAGG